GGGCAAUGCCGGGCAUCGGGCUCUUGUAUAAGGACUUCUUCCCACUUCAAAUCCCAGGAGAACCCUGUUGGUGUCCCUGGGGAAGGAAGGUGUCCCUGGGGAAGGUGUCCCUGGGGAAGGUGUUCCUAGGGAAGGUGUCCCUGGGGAAGGUGUCCCUGGGGAAGGUGUCCCUGGAGAAGGAAGGUGUCCCUGGGGAAGGUGUCCCUGGGGAAGGAAGGUGUCCCUGGGGAAGAUGUCCCUGGGGAAGGCGUCCCUGGAAAAGGUGUCCCUGGGGAAGGUGUCCCUGGGGAAGAUGUCCCUGGGGAAGGAAGGUGUUCCUGGGGAAGAUGUCCCUGGGGAAGGAAGGUGUUCCUGGGGAAGAUGUCCCUGGGGAAGGCGUCCCUGGGGAAGGAAGGUGUCCCUGGGGAAGGUGUCCCUGGGGAAGGAAGGUGUCCCUGGGGAAG